UACGUAGGGUGCGAGCGUUGUCCGGAAUUAUUGGGCGUAAAGAGCUCGUAGGCGGUUUGUUGCGUCGGCCGUGAAAACCUGCAGCUUAACUGUGGGCCUGCGGCCGAUACGGGCAGACUUGAGUUCGGUAGGGGAGACUGGAAUUCCUGGUGUAGCGGUGAAAUGCGCAGAUAUCAGGAGGAACACCGGUGGCGAAGGCGGGUCUCUGGGCCGAUACUGACGCUGAGGAGCGAAAGCGUGGGUAGCAAACAGG
rnacentral:rRNA from 1 species